rnacentral:rRNA from 1 species
CUACGGGCGGCUCCAGUGGGGAAUAUUGCACAAUGGGCGCAAGCCUGAUGCAGCCAUGCCGCGUGUAUGAAGAAGGCCUUCGGGUUGUAAAGUACUUUCAGCGGGGAGGAAGGGAGUAAAGUUAAUACCUUUGCUCAUUGACGUUACCCGCAGAAGAAGCACCGGCUAACUCCGUGCCAGCAGCCGCGGUAAUACGGAGGGUGCAAGCGUUAAUCGGAAUUACUGGGCGUAAAGCGCACGCCGGCGGUUUGUUAAGUCAGAUGUGAAAUCCCCGGGCUCAACCUGGGAACUGCAUCUGAUACUGGCAAGCUUGAGUCUCGUAGAGGGGGGUAGAAUUCCAGGUGUAGCGGUGAAAUGCGUAGAGAUCUGGAGGAAUACCGGUGGCGAAGGCGGCCCCCUGGACGAAGACUGACGCUCAGGUGCGAAAGCGUGGGGAGCAAACAGGAUUAGAUACCCCCGUAGUC